GUCGACUUACAUGGGAAGCUGAAUGGAAACCUUAGUUGCCAAGUUUGGAAUAAUAUUAGCAGAAAUGAAACAGUUAUUCACCUGGCAGCCUGCAAAGAUUCUGUUACAACCUUGACAGUGAUAGCAACUGUCAUCACGCUCUUUAUCGUUGUGGCUUUGAGUUUGGCUGUAAAACAGUUUUGUGAAAAAACAAGACCAACAACUGUUGAUGAGGAUGAUGUUGACAGUGACAUUAUCUACAGAGAUGUUAAAGUGACAAAUGAUAACAAAUUAAACAAAAUUAACUCAGGAGAAUCAGCUGGGAUAGGUUCCAGCACUGAACUUGACUCUGAAGUGGAUCAGCCAUGAAGAAGAUGGAUUGAUGAAUUUUUUUGCUUGUAUUCCAAAAUUUUUGUUAUUGAUUAUUUGUUAUUAUGUUUUUCACUAUCGAGUUAUCCUAAUUACUCAAGGAUUCAUCAAUCAAAAGGACUAACAUGAAUGAUAAGCAAAACUAUUGUGUUAUUGCUGUGAGGAACAUGUUAACA
ensembl:lncRNA